UCCCAUUGCUGGCAGCUCUUCAGUACUGAAGAGCUCUGUGACUGUCACAGUUUGUGACAGUUCGUGAACUUCUACCCUGGUAGAGCUGCCCUAAUCAACUGUAAGUAGAUCUGUUAUUAUUGUGCAUCUUAUAACAUCUUAUAGGAGCAACAACAGCUCAGCCAUGAAGCAGCAGAUCACGAAAAGUCACAGUUUGGAAGCAUAAACACAGCAAAGAGUGUCAAGAGUUUCCUAAAAUUAUAUUCCUGGACUGUGUAGAUUAACUUAACUUAACUUAAUUUAAUUUAAUAUUAUUUUGCACAAUUUCUUUAGUCUCAAAUAAGAUGGUUUUACCAAUCAUCAAUUACUACAUUUAUGAAAUCCCUAGAAAAGUGCAUUACUUUAAGUAAAUGCAGGAUGGUUGCACAGCUAAAAUGGCUCCUGUCGUUCACUAUGGUGAAUGUAAUGGUGUUGCUAAGUGGUUGCUAGGCAGUUGCUAAGGUGAUUGCUAAGGUGUUGACGAGUGGUUGCUAAGGUGCUGCUAGGUGGUUGCAAAGGUGUUGCUAUGGUAUCCUCAUUGGUUGCUAUUUUGUUUCUAAGGGGUUGCUAGGUGGUUGCUAUGGUGGUUGCUAUGGUGUUGCUUGGGUGUCUGGGGUUGUUGCUAAGGUGUUCCUAUGUGGUUGCUAAGGUGUUGCUAUGGUAUAUGUGGUGAUUGUUUUAUUGUUUCUGUGGUAUCUUUGGUGGUUGCUGUGGUCUUGCUUUGGUGUCUAUGGUGGUUGCUAAGGUGUUACUAAGUGGUUGCUAAGGUGCUUCUAGGUGGUUGCUAAGGUGUUGUUAGGUGGUUGCUAAGGUGUUGUUAUGGUAUCUGCGGUUGUUGCUAAGGUGCUGCUAGGUGGUUGCAAAGGUGUUGCUAUGGUUUCCGUGGUGGUUGCUAUAUUAUUUCUAAGUGGUUGCUAAGGUGUUGCUAUGGUAUCUGUUGUGGUUGCUAUAUUGUUUCUCUGGUGUCUGUGGUGGUUGCUAUGGUCUUGCUUUGCUGUCUAUGGUGGUUGCUAAGGUGUUACUAAGAAGUUGUUAGGUGGUUGCUAAGGUGCUGCCAGGUGGUUGCAAAGGUGUUGCUGUGGUAUCUGUGGUGGUUGCUAUAUUGUUUUUAAGUGGUUGCUAAGCUGUUGCUAUGGUAUCUGUCGUGGUUGCUAUGUUGUUUCUAUGGUGUCUGUGGUGGUUGCUAUGGUCUUGCUUUGGUGUCUAUGGUGGUUGCUAAGGUGUUACUAAGGGGUUGCUAGGUGGUUGCUAAGGUGCUGCCAGGUGGUUGCAAAGGUGUUGCUAUGGUAUCCGUGGUGGUCGCUAUAUUGUUUUUAAGUGGUUGCUAAGGUGUUGCUAUGGUAUCCGUGGUGGUUGCUAUAUUGUUUCUGUGGUGUCUUUGGUGGUUGCUGUGGUCUUGCUUUGGUGUCUAUGGUGGUUGCUAAGGUGUUACUAAGUGGUUGCUAAGGUGCUUCUAGGUGGUUGCUAAGGUGUUGUUAGGUGGUUGCUAAGGUGUUGUUAUGGUAUCUGUGGUUGUUGCUAAGGUGUUGCUAGGUGGUUGCAAAGGUGUUGCAUAUGGUAUCCGUGGUGGUUGCUAUAUUGUUUCUGUGUUGUCUGUGGUCGUUGCUAUGUUCUUGCUAUGGUGUCUAUGGUGGUUGCUAAGGUGUUACUAAGUGGUUGCUAGGUGGUUGCUAAGGUGCUGCUAGGUGGUUGCAAAGGUGUUGCUGUGGUAACCUCAUUGGUUGCUAUUUUGUUUCUAAGGUCUUGCUGUGUGGUUGCUAAGAUGUUGCUAUGGUAUCUGUGGAUGUUGCUAAGGUGUUGCUAGGUUGUUCAUAAGUUGUUGCUAUGGUAUCCAUGGUGGUUGCUAUAUUGUUUCUGUGGUGCCUGUGGUGGUUGCUAUAUUGUUUCUGUGGUGUCUGUGGUGGUUGGUAAUGGUCUUGCUUUGGUGUCUAUGGUGGUUGCUAAGGUGUUACUAAGUGGUUGCUAGGUGGUUGCUAAGGUGCUGCCAGGUGGUUGCAAAGGUGUUGCUUAUGGUAUCCAUGGUGGUUGCUAUAUUGUUUCUGUGGUAUCUGUGGUGGUUGCUUUGGUCUUGCUUUGGUGUCUAUGGUGGUUGCUAAGGUGUUACUAAGGUGCUGCUAGGUGGUUGCAAAGGUGUUGAUAUGGCAUCCAUGGUGGUUGCUAUAUUAUUUCUAAGUGGUUGCUAAGGUGUUGCUAUGGUAUCUGUGGUGGUUGCUAUAUUGUUUCUGUGGUGUCUGUGGUGGUUGCUAUGGUCUUGCUUUGGUGUCUAUGGUGGUUGCUAAUUUGUUGCUAAGGUAUCUGUGGUUGUUGCUAAGGUGUUGCUAGGUGGUUGCAAAGGUGUUGCUUAUGGUAUCCGUGGUGGUUGCUACAUUGUUUCUAAGUGGUUGCUAAGGUGUUGCUAUGGUAUCCGUGGUGGUUGCUAUAUUGUUUCUAAGUGGUUGCUAAGGUGUUGCUAUAGCAUUGUUUAGCCCUAUAAAGGGGUUAUCUGCUCUUAGUCUUUCUUAAGCAUAGACAGUUCUAUGUUAAUACAACACAUUAUCUUAUUGCCUGUGUUUAUCUCUCGUUUUUGACCUUGAACAAAAAAAUACCUACCCUAGUAUGAUAGCUCUUUGUUAUUGUUGUUUGCUAUUGUUGACCCUUUUCUGUUUGACCAUCCCUUUGUCUAAUACUUUUGCAAAUAAAGUAUAUAUUUAUCUGCCUCUGCGUGUGCCUGAAUUCUGACCAGCCAUGACAGAACGAGCAAUUAAUUUUACAAAUUUAUUUGACCGUUUUAAUAUAUUCUCUACGUCUAUGAGCUCUUGGGUUUGCAAACUUUAUCUAAAAAUAAUUGUAAAAAAGCUAAACAGCACAAUUGAGUUUUCCUAGACUUAAAGAGUGUGUCAGUGUCAGCUAUGGGUUUAACCUUAUGUAGUUGAAUGUGUCUUUUAGAGAGGGUGGUCCUCAAAUAUUGGGACGUAAAGUGGAAGUGUUAGCGAUUGCUUAGCACUUGUAGGAAGUGCAGCGGUGUCAAAAAAAAAACAAAAACAGCUACCCUAAAGCAACUUUGUUAUCUGAUGUAGAUCAGGCCUCCAUUAACACAUCUGUCAGUUACACUGGGGUUUUCCACCGUCUGAUAUUUAUCAGUUUGUGCAUUCUAGAACACUAAUAGUCUCGUCAGUGAUCCCUCACUUCACUCGUCUGUGAGUUUAAUGGUAUUAAAGGGCUGGUUUUGUUGUGAUGAGUGUGAGUUGGCAGCAUGUGCGCUAGUAUUGUAGCUUGUAUGUAAACUCGUAUCUUAUUAAACUCAUCUUUUAGCUGACAAAUAACUUCUCUCUCUCUCACUCUCUUUCUUUUCCUGACACACACACACACACAUGAAAAGCACAACCCCAACCGCACCUAUUAAUAGUAUUGCUGCUGGGUGGAAAAAAAAAGAUGCUGUUGAGUUCUGUUGAGUGAGUUUAACCUGCUAUACACACAUAUUCAGUAAUAACUGUGUUAUAAAUACUAUAUUACUGAUUGGUGGCGUAUUUUUACUACAUAUACAAUAUGGACACAUACUGUAUAUGGAACUAGAUAUUUCUAAAUACUGUAUCAAUUAUAAAUCCUUUAUGAAGAUGGCUGG